rnacentral:rRNA from 1 species
CCAAUAGCGUAUAUUAAAGUUGUUGCAGUUAAAAAGCUCGUAGUUGAAUUUCGGGAUCAAUAUGCCGGUCAUGCCUUGGUAUGCACUGGUAUCUUUGAUUUCUCCCUUCUGACGAACUUUGAUGUCAUUAAUUUGGCGUCAUAGGGAAUCAGGACUGUUACUUUGAAAAAAUUAGAGUGUUUAAAGCAGGCUCACGCUUG